AUGUACGCUGCAGUUGGGUGGGGUCAUUGGCUUGGUUCUCUCUCUGGACAGGACUACUGGCUUUGCUGUGUGGUUGGUCAGUGUUGUUACAGGACUCCCAGACAAAAAUCAGCUCAAGAUGGAUAAAAGACUUAAGUAUCAGACCUGAAAGCAUAAAAUUUCUAGAAGACGCUUGAGUCCAGGAGUCGGGAGUCCAGCGUGGGAAACAGAGUGAGACGCCAUCUCUUAAAAAAAAAAAGAAAAAACUCCUACAAGAAAACAUUUUAAAAAAUCUCUAUGACACUGGUCUGGACAAUGAUUUUUUUAGAAAUGACAUCAAAAGCAAAGACAACGUAAUCAAAAAUAAAUAAGUAGGACUACAUCAAACUAAAAGGCUUCUGCACAGCAAACAACAGUGAACAGGCAACCUACACAAUGGAAGACAAAUAUUUUCAAAUCACAUAUCUGAUAGAGGUUAAUAGCCAAAAUACAGGCAUACUUGAGACAUAUCAUGGGUUCCAUUUCAGACCACCACAAUAAAGCAAAUAUCACAAUAAAGUGAGUCAUACAAUGUUUUUGGUUUCCCAGUGAAUGUAAA
rnacentral:lncRNA from 1 species